CAUGUAUACUGUUUUUUUUGAGAGACCGUUGAUCUGAUGAAAACGCCGGUGUAAAAAUUGAGAAUACUGGGUUUGGAAUCUAAUCUAAUGAGGGCGAGAGACGGCGUGGGUCGAUUGCUCGGGACGCAGGAGGUCAAGGUGUUUGAAACCGGUGUGUCAGCUCAUCGGGUAUAUCGCUGUCUGGCCUUCUCAUCCCACACCAUCAUUACGUGGGGACCAACAUGACCAGGAGCAUCAGGGAUGUGACGAGGGGAACACGCCAAACUGUUGCCAUUGUUCCAGGCCACGCCAUCGAGACUGAGUCUCUGCCGGAGGCUGGUGAUCUUUGUUUCAAAGUCUUAUUUUCUAUCAAAUUAAUGGAAAAGAGUCGUCCUCUGUCAAAUUUGAGGAAAACCCCGUGAUAUUUAGUCACAUUUUAUGUUUGUUUGUAGCUAUUCUUAAUAAAUCAACACAUCUUAAUAAAUGAAAUCAUAAUCAUAUAAGAGUUCAUAUUAGUUGCUUAAUGACUUUUAAAGAUGCAUUGUGUAACAUUUAGGAGGAUCUGUUAACAGAAAUGCAAUAUCUA